GGGUGCCCUUCCCGGUGCCGCGCCCCGCAGCGCCGGUGAAGAUGGCAGGUCGUCGCGCAGGUCGGGCCGCCGCG
rnacentral:ncRNA from 24 species